rnacentral:rRNA from 1 species
CACGUAGUUAGCCGGUGCUUAUUCUUCAGGUACCGUCAUUAGCGAAGGAUAUUAGCCUUCACCGUUUCUUCCCUGACAAAAGAGCUUUACAACCCGAAGGCCUUCUUCACUCACGCGGCAUUGCUGGAUCAGGCUUUCGCCCAUUGUCCAAAAUUCCCCACUGCUGCCUCCCGUAGGAGUCUGGACCGUGUCUCAGUUCCAGUGUGGCUGGUCGUCCUCUCAGACCAGCUACUGAUCGUGGCCUUGGUGAGCCUUUACCUCACCAACUAGCUAAUCAGAUAUCGGCCGCUCCAGGAGCACAAGGUCCGAAGAUCCCCUGCUUUCAUCCUUAGAUCGUAUGCGGUAUUAGCGUAACUUUCGCUACGUUAUCCCCCACUCUUGGGUACGUUCCGAUAUAUUACUCACCCGUUCGCCACUCGCCGCCAGGUUGCCCCGCGCUGCCGUUCGACUUGCAUGUGUAAAGCAUGCCGCCAGCGUUCAAUCUGAGCCAGGAUCAAA